rnacentral:misc_RNA from 1 species
GAUGAAGAACGCAGCGAAAUGCGAUAAGUAAUGUGAAUUGCAGAAUUCAGUGAAUCAUCGAAUCUUUGAACGCACAUUGCGCCCCCUGGUAUUCCGGGGGCAUGCCUGUCCGAGCGUCAUUACAACCCUCAAGCUCAGCUUGGUGUUGGGCCCCGCCGCCCCGGCGGGCCCUAAAGUCAGUGGCGGUGCCGUCCGGCUCCGAGCGUAGUAAUUCUUCUCGCUCUGGAGGUCCGGUCGUGUGCUCGCCAGCAACCCCCAAUUUUUUUCAGGUUGACCUCGGAUCAGGUAGGGAUACCCGCUGAACUUAAGCAUAUCAUAAGCGGAGGA